rnacentral:rRNA from 1 species
GGGUUGUGAGGUUAAGCGACUAAGCGUACACGGUGGAUGCCCUGGCAGUCAGAGGCGAUGAAGGACGUGCUAAUCUGCGAUAAGCGUCGGUAAGGUGAUAUGAACCGUUAUAACCGGCGAUUUCCGAAUGGGGAAACCCAGUGUGAUUCGUCACACUAUCAUUAACUGAAUCCAUAGGUUAAUGAGGCGAACCGGGGGAACUGAAACAUCUAAGUACCCCGAGGAAAAGAAAUCAACCGAGAUUCCCCCAGUAGCGGCGAGCGAACGGGGAGCAGCCCAGAGCCUGAAUCAGUGUGUGUGUUAGUGGAAGCGUCUGGAAAGGCGCGCGAUACAGGGUGACAGCCCCGUACACAAAAAUGCACAUGCUGUGAGCUCGAUGAGUAGGGCGGGACACGUGGUAUCCUGUCUGAAUAUGGGGGGACCAUCCUCCAAGGCUAAAUACUCCUGACUGACCGAUAGUGAACCAGUACCGUGAGGGAAAGGCGAAAAGAACCCCGGCGAGGGGAGUGAAAAAGAACCUGAAACCGUGUACGUACAAGCAGUGGGAGCCUCUUUAUGGGGUGACUGCGUACCUUUUGUAUAAUGGGUCAGCGACUUAUAUUCUGUAGCAAGGUUAACCGAAUAGGGGAGCCGAAGGGAAACCGAGUCUUAACUGGGCGUUAAGUUGCAGGGUAUAGACCCGAAACCCGGUGAUCUAGCCAUGGGCAGGUUGAAGGUUGGGUAACACUAACUGGAGGACCGAACCGACUAAUGUUGAAAAAUUAGCGGAUGACUUGUGGCUGGGGGUGAAAGGCCAAUCAAACCGGGAGAUAGCUGGUUCUCCCCGAAAGCUAUUUAGGUAGCGCCUCGUGAAUUCAUCUCCGGGGGUAGAGCACUGUUUCGGCAAGGGGGUCAUCCCGACUUACCAACCCGAUGCAAACUGCGAAUACCGGAGAAUGUUAUCACGGGAGACACACGGCGGGUGCUAACGUCCGUCGUGAAGAGGGAAACAACCCAGACCGCCAGCUAAGGUCCCAAAGUCAUGGUUAAGUGGGAAACGAUGUGGGAAGGCCCAGACAGCCAGGAUGUUGGCUUAGAAGCAGCCAUCAUUUAAAGAAAGCGUAAUAGCUCACUGGUCGAGUCGGCCUGCGCGGAAGAUGUAACGGGGCUAAACCAUGCACCGAAGCUGCGGCAGCGACGCUUAUGCGUUGUUGGGUAGGGGAGCGUUCUGUAAGCCUGCGAAGGUGUGCUGUGAGGCAUGCUGGAGGUAUCAGAAGUGCGAAUGCUGACAUAAGUAACGAUAAAGCGGGUGAAAAGCCCGCUCGCCGGAAGACCAAGGGUUCCUGUCCAACGUUAAUCGGGGCAGGGUGAGUCGACCCCUAAGGCGAGGCCGAAAGGCGUAGUCGAUGGGAAACAGGUUAAUAUUCCUGUACUUGGUGUUACUGCGAAGGGGGGACGGAGAAGGCUAUGUUGGCCGGGCGACGGUUGUCCCGGUUUAAGCGUGUAGGCUGGUUUUCCAGGCAAAUCCGGAAAAUCAAGGCUGAGGCGUGAUGACGAGGCACUACGGUGCUGAAGCAACAAAUGCCCUGCUUCCAGGAAAAGCCUCUAAGCAUCAGGUAACAUCAAAUCGUACCCCAAACCGACACAGGUGGUCAGGUAGAGAAUACCAAGGCGCUUGAGAGAACUCGGGUGAAGGAACUAGGCAAAAUGGUGCCGUAACUUCGGGAGAAGGCACGCUGAUAUGUAGGUGAAGUCCCUUGCGGAUGGAGCUGAAAUCAGUCGAAGAUACCAGCUGGCUGCAACUGUUUAUUAAAAACACAGCACUGUGCAAACACGAAAGUGGACGUAUACGGUGUGACGCCUGCCCGGUGCCGGAAGGUUAAUUGAUGGGGUUAGCGCAAGCGAAGCUCUUGAUCGAAGCCCCGGUAAACGGCGGCCGUAACUAUAACGGUCCUAAGGUAGCGAAAUUCCUUGUCGGGUAAGUUCCGACCUGCACGAAUGG